rnacentral:tRNA from 1 species
UCCGGUGUGAAGCAGAGUGGUAAUGCGCCUGACUGUUAAUCAGGAGUUCGUUGGUUCGAUCCCAACUGCCGGAGCCA